rnacentral:snRNA from 1 species
GGAUGUGAGGGUGAUCUGGCUGAGACACCUGUCACCCCAUUGAUUGCCAGGGUUGAUUCGGCUGAUCUGACUGGCUAGGCAGGUGUCCUCUUCCUCCCUCACCACUCCAUGUGCAUCCCUCUCGAAGCUGCGUGCUUGGUCGAAGAGAACAACCAUCCCCGAUAGAGGAGGACCGUUCUUCGGUCAAGGGUACAUGAGUAGCUGCACUCCCCUGCUAAAACCUCUAAACAAGCUCUCAAAGUAUUAAUAAUUAUAUGUGAGUUUCCCUUUACCUCAGGAAUUUGGGAAAAGCAAAUGAGAUAAUAGAACAAAGGUUUGAGCUCUUU